GAUGAACGCUGGCGGCGUGCCUAAUACAUGCAAGUCGAGCGAACGGACGAUAAGCUUGCUUCUCUGAUGUUAGCGGCGGACGGGUGAGUAACACGUGGAUAACCUACCUAUAAGACUGGGAUAACUUCGGGAAACCGGAGCUAAUACCGGAUAAUAUUUUGAACCGCAUUGUUCAAAAGUGAAAGACGGUCUUGCUGUCACUUAUAGAUGGAUCCGCGCUGCAUUAGCUAGUUGGUAAGGUAACGGCUUACCAAGGCAACGAUGCAUAGCCGACCUGAGAGGGUGAUCGGCCACACUGGAACUGAGACACGGUCCAGACUCCUACGGGAGGCAGCAGUAGGGAAUCUUCCGAAAUGGGCGAAAGCCUGACGGAGCAACGCCGCGUGAGUGAUGAAGGUCUUCGGAUCGUAAAACUCUGUUAUUAGGGAAGAACAUAUGUGUAAGUAACUGUGCACAUCUUGACGGUACCUAAUCAGAAAGCCACGGCUAACUACGUG
rnacentral:rRNA from 1 species